AUGAACGCUAGCUACAGGCUUAACACAUGCAAGUCGAGGGGCAUCAGGAAGAAAGCUUGCUUUCUUUGCUGGCGACCGGCGCACGGGUGAGUAACACGUAUCCAACCUGCCCUUUACUCGGGGAUAGCCUUUCGAAAGAAAGAUUAAUACCCGAUGGCAUAAUGAUUCCGCAUGGUUUCAUUAUUAAAGGAUUCCGGUAAAGGAUGGGGAUGCGUUCCAUUAGGUUGUUGGUGAGGUAACGGCUCACCAAGCCUUCGAUGGAUAGGGGUUCUGAGAGGAAGGUCCCCCACAUUGGAACUGAGACACGGUCCAAACUCCUACGGGAGGCAGCAGUGAGGAAUAUUGGUCAAUGGGCGCUAGCCUGAACCAGCCAAGUAGCGUGAAGGAUGAAGGCUCUAUGGGUCGUAAACUUCUUUUAUAUAAGAAUAAAGUGCAGUAUGUAUACUGUUUUGUAUGUAUUAUAUGAAUAAGGAUCGGCUAACUCCGUGCCAGCAGCCGCGGUAAUACGGAGGAUCCGAGCGUUAUCCGGAUUUAUUGGGUUUAAAGGGAGCGUAGGUGGACUGGUAAGUCAGUUGUGAAAGUUUGCGGCUCAACCGUAAAAUUGCAGUUGAUACUGUCAGUCUUGAGUACAGUAGAGGUGGGCGGAAUUCGUGGUGUAGCGGUGAAAUGCUUAGAUAUCACGAAGAACUCCGAUUGCGAAGGCAGCUCACUGGACUGCAACUGACACUGAUGCUCGAAAGUGUGGGUAUCAAACAGGAUUAGAUACCCUGGUAGUCCACACAGUAAACGAUGAAUACUCGCUGUUUGCGAUAUACAGUAAGCGGCCAAGCGAAAGCAUUAAGUAUUCCACCUGGGGAGUACGCCGGCAACGGUGAAACUCGAAGGAAUUGACGGGGGCCCGCACAAGCGGAGGAACAUGUGGUUUAAUUCGAUGAUACGCGAGGAACCUUACCCGGGCUUAAAUUGCAGUGGAAUGAUGUGGAAACAUGUCAGUGAGCAAUCACCGCUGUGAAGGUGCUGCAUGGUUGUCGUCAGCUCGUGCCGUGAGGUGUCGGCUUAAGUGCCAUAACGAGCGCAACCCUUAUCUUUAGUUACUAACAGGUCAUGCUGAGGACUCUAGAGAGACUGCCGUCGUAAGAUGUGAGGAAGGUGGGGAUGACGUCAAAUCAGCACGGCCCUUACGUCCGGGGCUACACACGUGUUACAAUGGGGGGUACAGAAGGCAGCUAGCGGGUGACCGUAUGCUAAUCCCAAAAUCCUCUCUCAGUUCGGAUCGAAGUCUGCAACCCGACUUCGUGAAGCUGGAUUCGCUAGUAAUCGCGCAUCAGCCACGGCGCGGUGAAUACGUUCCCGGGCCUUGUACACACCGCCCGUCAAGCCAUGGGAGCCGGGGGUACCUGAAGUACGUAACCGCAAGGAUCGUCCUAGGGUAAAACUGGUGACUGGGGCU
rnacentral:rRNA from 1 species